rnacentral:rRNA from 1 species
UGGGGAAUUUUGCACAAUGGGGGAAACCCUGAUGCAGCGACGCCGCGUGAUUUAGAAGGCCUUCGGGUUGUAAAAAUCUUUUCUAUGGGAAGAAAAUGACAGUACCAUAGGAAUAAGGACCGGCUAAUUACGUGCCAGCAGCCGCGGUAAUACGUAAGGUCCGAGCGUUGUCCGGAAUCAUUGGGCGUAAAGGGUACGUAGGCGGGUAAGCAAGUUAGAAGUGAAAUCCUAUAGCUCAACUAUAGUAAGCUUUUAAAACUGCUCAUCUUGAGGUAUGGAAGGGAAAGUGGAAUUCCUAGUGUAGCGGUGAAAUGCGCAGAUAUUAGGAGGAAUACCGGUGGCGAAGGCGACUUUCUGGCCAUAACCUGACGCUGAGGUACGAUAGCGUGGGUAGCAAACAGG